GACGAACGCUGGCGGCGUGCUUAACACAUGAAAGUCGAACGGAAAGGCCUCUUUCGGGGGGUACUCGAGUGGCGAACGGGUGAGUAACACGUGAGUAACCUGCCCUUGACUUUGGGAUAACUUCAGGAAACUGGGGCUAAUACCGGAUAGGAGCUCCUGCUGCAUGGUGGGGGUUGGAAAGUUUCGGCGGUUGGGGAUGGACUCGCGGCUUAUCAGCUUGUUGGUGGGGUAGUGGCUUACCAAGGCUUUGACGGGUAGCCGGCCUGAGAGGGUGACCGGCCACAUUGGGACUGAGAUACGGCCCAGACUCCUACGGGAGGCAGCAGUGGGGAAUAUUGCACAAUGGGUGGAAGCCUGAUGCAGCAACGCCGUGUGCGGGAUGACGGCCUUCGGGUUGUAAACCGCUUUCGCUCAUGACGAAGCUUUGUGUGACGGUAGUGGGUAAAGAAGCACCGGCUAACUACGUG
rnacentral:rRNA from 1 species